rnacentral:ncRNA from 1 species
CAAAAAACAAUGAUGAAGAGUGAACUAUAUAAAAAUCUAUUACAGAGAGCUAGGGUAGCUGAGAGCUAGCAUAGAUUUCAUAGGGAACAUCACUUCGGAGUUAUAUAGCUGAAAUCAGUAAGCUAUAGCGGUAAGCCCCGUUAGAAGGCUAAGGUUUAAUUGAACCUGUUGAGUUAAUUAUCGUGAGAUAAUUAUAAAGUAGAGUGGUACCGCAUGAAUUGCCUCUGCA